rnacentral:misc_RNA from 1 species
GAAAUGCGAUAAGUAAUGUGAAUUGCAGAAUUCCGUGAAUCAUCGAAUCUUUGAACGCACAUUGCGCCCCCUGGCAUUCCGGGGGGCAUGCCUGUCCGAGCGUCAUUGCUACCCUCCAGCCCGGCUGGUGUGUUGGGCCCCCGUCCCCCUGCUCCGGCGGGGGGACGGGCCCGAAAGGCAGCGGCGGCACCGCGUCCGGUCCUCGAGCGUAUGGGGCUUUGUCACGCGCUCUUGUAGGCCCGGCCGGCUGCUGGCCGACGACCUCACGGUCACCUUAUUUUCUCUAGGUUGACCUCGGAUCAGGUAGGGAUACCCGCUGAACUUAA